rnacentral:rRNA from 1 species
UACAGAGGUCCCAAGCGUUGUUCGGAUUCACUGGGCGUAAAGGGUGCGUAGGUGGUUCUGCAAGUCUGAUGUGAAAUCUCCGGGCUUAACCCGGAAAUGGCAUUGGAAACUGCAGGGCUAGAGUGUUGGAGGGGGGACUGGAAUUCUCGGUGUAGCAGUGAAAUGCGUAGAUAUCGAGAGGAACGCCUGAGGUGAAGACGGGUUGCUGGGCCGACACUGACGCUGACAGCGCGAAAGCCAGGGGAGCAAACGGG